CAGGGAGGGCGGGGGAGUGGGAGCAUCGCAUCCAUUUCAUUCAUGAUUUUCUUCUCCUGGAGCCCCGGGUCGGAGUUGCGCGGCUACGGCCACCGCCAGAGGGACCCCAGCAGGGCACACAGGAGAACCACCGUACCAUUGCUACCCUGGUUCUAGUCACUGACCUCUUUAGCCUGAUUUCUGCAAUAGAUUCUUUACUAGUCUCUCAGCUUCCACCCUUGAUCUGCAGUUGAUUCUCUGCACAACAGUUGGAAUGAUGUUUUUAAAAUCUAAGUCAGACCUUUGUCCAUGCUGUGGAAUGCCAUCUCCCAUAACUUCCUUACUACCCAGAGUCCAGUUCAAAUACUACCUUCUCCUCGGAGCCUCCCUGACAUUUCCAGAGACACUCAGCUCUCAUUCUGACUUUGAUGGAGUUUUCUUAUCUUUUCCCUGGGUGGAAUGUGAAUUCACGAUAAGAAGAUCUGGGUGCUUCUCUCUCCCUGACUCCAGCACAGAAGGACUCUAAGGUAACUGCUCCAGGCAACUCUGGACUCCAUGACAGACAUGUGCUGGAACAGGCUGGCAAGCUGUUAUGAGUUCCUGAAAAUUGCUGAGCAACCACUUGCAGAUGGUUUCCAUCUCAACUCUUCCACUCACCUGCUGAGAGAUUCUGAGCAUCUUUCAAUUAUCAGCUUGCCCUGCUGUCUCUGGGUCAGUUAAGACCAGCUGCCUUUCUAUUCUACAAGUUCCCCUGGGACAAAUUUAUUCACAGUGUGUGUGUUUUUUUUAAUCUCUUUCUGCCUAUUUUCCCCCUCCGUUCCACAGUGAAUGGACAGAGCUGCUGCCACCAAAGCUAGUACAUCUCUAGUGUAUCAUUUCUUGUUCUGUGUUCAAAGCUAUUGAAUUUCUGUCUCUAUAAUCAUAAUCAUAGAAACACAGAAAUUCAGUAUGAUUAUGUGAUUAUAGAUUAUACCGUCCAGGGUUGAUUUCAGUGAAUCCCAUCAGUCAUCCACCUCUCUGAGAAGCAAUAUGCUUGCUGAUUGAAUCUUGAACUGUGGAGCAACUGUAAAUUGCUCUCUUCCUCUUAUCUACUAUGUCUUUCUCCUCCCUCUAUGCAUUUAAAAAAUUAAUUUCUUAUUAACGUGUAUUAAUUGCACAUAUCAAUGGGGUUCAGUUGAUACUUCCAUACACGCAUAUACCAUGCAAUGAUUAAGUCAACCACCUUUUCCCACCCUUCUAAACCCUUCCCAAUCUUUAUUAACCACUCUUCUAUGUUCUAGUAACAUAUUCAAAGUUGCUGUUUGUUAUUUUGCACAUUUGGAUCACAUUUUUCUCUGUUUCUAUAGAUAUUGAAACAUUUUUACUUGCUUUUUUCUGUCUCAUAAUUUUUUUUUUUCUGAAAUGAGGUCUUACUGUGUCAUGCAUACUGGCUUGACCUCAUAAUCUCUUGACUUAGCCUUCUGGGUAGCUGGGAUUGCAGAUGCACACCACUAUUCCCAGCUUAUUUUUGUCAUUUUUUAAAUUUUUAUUUUUUGCAGUUUUGUGCUUUGAACCCAGGACCUGUGCAUAGUAGGCCAGCACUUUACCAACAGACCUACAUCCCCUGUGUGCUCAUCUUAUAAUUUUUUUUGAUUCAUUGUUGAACAUCUGUGCAGAAUAGAAGUAAAUGAGGUAGAUAAUAAAAUCUAUUAAGUAUGAAAAGGUUCAUGCCUUUCCUGUCAAGACAUUAGUAUGUGGGAGUUGAUCUAGAAAAGAGUCGGAUGAGUUUGCAUGGUGUUUGUACUGAUAGUUUCACUGAAUGCUAAGCCUCAAUUUUGGGCUGAUGUUGUGCUUAGGAUGGGGUCUGAGAUGUAAGUAAAUUUUUCUCACUGUUCCUGCUACUCCUUCAGCCUUCAGUCCCACCUUCAUGUUUGUACUACAAUGAACGUCUCUCCCCAUGAGCACGGUCAACCCCAGGGUGGACUACUGUUGCUUGCUAGUCAGUGCUAGGCUAUCUGUGGAGGCAGGAGUGGUGCUCUGUUGUGUUUGCUUAUCCCCAAACUUAGGCUAGUCCUGUGUUUUUUGAAAGUUUAAAGAACAUUCAUUGUAUUCUUGAA